GAUGAACGCUAGCGGCAGGCUUACUACAUGCAAGUCGAGGGACAGCACAGGUAGCAAUACUGGGUGGUAACCGGCAAACGGGUGCGGAACACGUACACAACCUUCCUUUAAGUGGGGGAUAGCCCAGAGAAAUUUGGAUUAAUACCCCGUAAUAUAGUUGAAUGGCAUCAUUUGAUUAUUAUAGCUACGGCGCUUAAUGAUGGGUGUGCGGCUGAUUAGAUAGUUGGCGGGGUAACGGCCCACCAAGUCUACGAUCAGUAGCUGAUGUGAGAGCAUGAUCAGCCACACGGGCACUGAGACACGGGCCCGACUCCUACGGGAGGCAGCAGUAAGGAAUAUUGGUCAAUGGACGCAAGUCUGAACCAGCCAUGCCGCGUGAAGGAUUAAGGUCCUCUGGAUUGUAAGCUUCUUUUAUUUGGGACGAAAAAGGGCCUUUCUAGGUCAACUGACGGUACCAGAUGAAUAAGCACCGGCUAACUCCGUGCCAGCCGCCGCAGUAAAAC
rnacentral:rRNA from 1 species